CUUUCGCCUGUGACGAAGCGUGAGUGACGGUAAUGGGUAAAGAAGCACCGGCUAACUACGUGCCAGCAGCCGCGGUGAUACGUAGGGUGCGAGCGUUGUCCGGAUUUAUUGGGCGUAAAGGGCUCGUAGGUGGUUGAUCGCGUCGGAAGUGUAAUCUUGGGGCUUAACCCUGAGCGUGCUUUCGAUACGGGUUGACUUGAGGAAGGUAGGGGAGAAUGGAAUUCCUGGUGGAGCGGUGGAAUGGGCAGAUAUCAGGAGGAACACCAGUGGCGAAGGCGGUUCUCUGGGCCUUUCCUGACGCUGAGGAGCGAAAGCGUGGGGGAGCGAACAGGCUUAGAUACCCUGGUAGUCCACGCUGUAAACGGUGGGUACUAGGUGUGGGGUCCAUUCCACGGGUUCCGUGCCGUAGCUAACGCUUUAAGUACCCCGCCUGGGGAGUACGGCCGCAAGGCUAAAACUCAAAGGAAUUGACGGGGCCCCGCACAAGCGGCGGAGCAUGCGGAUUAAUUCGAUGCAACGCGUAGAACCUUACCUGGGUUUGACAUGGAUCGGGAGUGCUCAGAGAUGGGUGUGCCUCUUUUGGGGUCGGUUCACAGGUGGUGCAUGGCUGUCGUCAGCUCGUGUCGUGAGAUGUUGGGUUAAGUCCCGCAACGAGCGCAACCCUUGUUCACUGUUGCCAGCACGUUAUGGUGGGGACUCAGUGGAGACCGCCGGGGUCAACUCGGAGGAAGGUGGGGAUGACGUCAAGUCAUCAUGCCCCUUAUGUCCAGGGCUUCACGCAUGCUACAAUGGCUGGUACAGAGAGUGGCGAGCCUGUGAGGGUGAGCGAAUCUCGGAAAGCCGGUCUCAGUUCGGAUUGGGGUCUGCAACUCGACCUCAUGAAGUCGGAGUCGCUAGUAAUCGCAGAUCAGCAACGCUGCGGUGAAUACGUUCCCGGGGCUUGUACACACCGCCCGUCAAGUCAUGAAAGUUGGUAACACCCGAAGCCGGUGGCCUAACCGUUGUGGGGGAGCCGUCGAAGGUGGGACU
rnacentral:rRNA from 1 species